UUCCAACUAUUAAGGUUCUGGUUUCUACUAAUCAGAUUAAAUAUGUUAGAUCUAAUUAAUAAUUAAAAGAUAAUUAAGCUACAUGGAAGGAAUUAGACUUGGUCUUGGUCGACCAACUAGAGAAAAACAAUGUGACUCAGUCUAGACCCAAUUGGGUUUUAGAUCUAAUCUCCUUAGUAACAAAGAGAAAUCACAAUAUUAGGUCCACAAGUCAGGGAAAAGGGUAUAGCAUGUGGGAGAGGAGGGGGGAAGAUAGAGAGAAAGAGAG
rnacentral:lncRNA from 1 species